rnacentral:tRNA from 1 species
UGCGGGGUAGAGCAGAGGCAGCUCGUCGGGCUCAUAACCCGGAGGUCACAGGUUCGAAUCCUGUCCCCGCGA